rnacentral:rRNA from 1 species
AGUGAACGCUGGCGGUAGGCCUAACACAUGCAAGUCGAACGGCAGCACAGUAAGAGCUUGCUCUUACGGGUGGCGCGUGGCGGACGGGUGAGGAAUACAUCGGAAUCUACUUUUUCGUGGGGGAUAACGUAGGGAAACUUACGCUAAUACCGCAUACGACCUACGGGUGAAAGCAGGGGAUCUUCGGACCUUGCGCGAUUGAAUGAGUCGAUGUCGGAUUAGCUAGUUGGCGGGGUAAAGGCCCACCAAGGCGACGAUCCGUAGCUGGUCUGAGAGGAUGAUCAGCCACACUGGAACUGAGACACGGUCCAGACUCCUACGGGAGGCAGCAGUGGGGAAUAUUGGACAAUGGGCGCAAGCCUGAUCCAGCCAUACCGCGUGGGUGAAGAAGGCCUUCGGGUUGUAAAGCCCUUUUGUUGGGAAAGAAAAGCAGCAGGUUAAUACCCCGCUGUUCUGACGGUACCCAAAGAAUAAGCACCGGCUAACUUCGUG